GUUUUUGUAGUUGAAUACAACAGUAAAUUUUCGAUUUACAGGUCUAGGUUGAAAUCCUGGUAGAAACC
rnacentral:tRNA from 1 species